CAAUAGCGUAUAUUAAAGUUGUUGCGGUUAAAAAGCUCGUAGUUGGAUUUCUGCCGAGGACGACCGGUCCGCCCUCUGGGUGAGCAUCUGGCUCGGCCUGGGCAUCUUCUUGGAGAACGUAUCUGCACUUGACUGUGUGGUGCGGUAUUCAGGACUUUUACUUUUUGAGGAAAUUAGAGUGUUUCAAGCAGGCAUACGCCUUGAAUACAUUAGCAUGGAAUAAUAAGAUAGGACCUCGGUUCUAUUUUUGUUGGUUUCUAGUACUGAAGUAAUGAUUGAUAGGGAUAGUUGGGGGUGCUAGUAUUGACCGGCCAGAGGUGAAAUUCUUGGAUUCGGUCAAGACUAACUUAUGCGAAAGCAUUCACCAAGGAUGUCUUCUUUAAUCAAGAACGAAAGUUGGGGGGAUCGAAGAUGAUCAGAUACCG
rnacentral:rRNA from 1 species